GACGAACGCUGGCGGCGUGCCUAACACAUGCAAGUCGAACGGAGCUAUAUUAACAGAAGCUUUCGGGUGGAAGAUAAUUUAGCUUAGUGGCGGACGGGUGAGUAACGCGUGAGUAACCUGCCUUUUAGAGGGGGAUAACGUCUGGAAACGGACGCUAAUACCGCAUACAGUACUGAGGUCGCAUGGCCAUGGUAUGAAAGGAGCAAUCCACUAAGAGAUGGACUCGCGUCCGAUUAGCUAGUUGGAGGGGUAACGGCCCACCAAGGCGACGAUCGGUAGCCGGACUGAGAGGUUGAACGGCCACAUUGGGACUGAGACACGGCCCAGACUCCUACGGGAGGCAGCAGUGGGGGAUAUUGCGCAAUGGGGGAAACCCUGACGCAGCAACGCCGCGUGAAGGAAGAAGGUUUUCGGAUUGUAAACUUCUUUUGUUAAGGACGAACAAUGACGGUACUUAACGAAUAAGCUCCGGCUAACUACGUGCCAGCCGCCGCCGUAAUAC
rnacentral:rRNA from 1 species